GACGAACGCUGGCGGCGUGCCUAAUACAUGCAAGUAGAACGCUUAAGGAGGAGCUUGCUUCUCCGGAUGAGUUGCGAACGGGUGAGUAACGCGUAGGUAACCUGCCUGGUAGCGGGGGAUAACUAUUGGAAACGAUAGCUAAUACCGCAUAAGAGUAGAUGUCGCAUGACAUUUGCUUAAAAGGUGCAACUGCACCACUACCAGAUGGACCUGCGUUGUAUUAGCUAGUUGGUGAGGUAACGGCUCACCAAGGCAACGAUACAUAGCCGACCUGAGAGGGUGAGCGGCCACACUGGGACUGAGACACGGCCCAGACUCCUACGGGAGGCAGCAGUAGGGAAUCUUCGGCAAUGGACGGAAGUCUGACCGAGCAACGCCGAGUGAGUGAAGAAGGUUUUCGGAUCGUAAAGCUCUGUUGUAAGAGAAGAAAGAGUGUGAGAGUGGAAAGUUCACACUGUGACGGUAUCUUACCAGAAAGGGACGGCUAACUACGUG
rnacentral:rRNA from 1 species